rnacentral:rRNA from 1 species
GACAGAGGUGCCAAGCGUUAGGCGGAAUCACUGGGCUUAAAGCGUGUGUAGGCGGGUCGUUAAGUACCUUGUGAAAUCCCCCGGCUCAACCGGGGAACGGCUGGGUAUACUGGCGAUCUUGAGCGACCUAGGGGCAGUCGGAACAAGUGGUGGAGCGGUGAAAUGCGUAGAUAUCUGGAGGAACACCGGUGGCGAAGGCGGCAUCCUGGACCGGCACUGACGCUGAGGAGCGAAAGCCAGGGGAGCAAACGGG